CACUGCUACAAGCCGAGAAAUCGCUGAAAGCUUGAGAGAUAUCAAGGAAUUCCUCGUCGUUAUUGGAAGAAGCUUUGCCACACUUGUCAUUACUAUUGUUAUUCCGAGACGCAAGCUCCCCAAGACGCAUGUCGAUGACAGAUUCAGUUAAAUUUUCCGAUACAUAAGCCGAGUUGUCGGUGGCAGUAGUAAAAGAACAGCAGCUGCCGUCAUUCUGGUAGAGAUUGGAGCGUAUCGUGCGCAUGGAACGGCCGACAUGCCGGCUGAUUUUGGUAGCGGAAGCAGAGGAUGGGUUAUAAAAAUUAUUGUUUCGGGUUAAAGGGAAGCGAUUUGAACUGGAAUGCGAAUCUUCCAAAGAAACCAUUUUUCGCAAACUAAAUUUGGUUUUGGAGAAAACGAAACCGUUUUCUGAAACUGGUUCUCGGCGAUUCGAUUUCAAGAGAAUUUCAUGGUUUGUGCAUGAAAGAGAGGGAGAAAGGGAGACACAGGGCGUUGCAGAAGAAGACGAGAGACGGUUUUAUGGC
rnacentral:misc_RNA from 1 species